GCAAAUCAUAAAAAUAAUAAUUUCAGAUUUUAAUCUUAAAGCCCCAAACUUUAUAUUUUAAUUAAACUAUAAUCUG
rnacentral:tRNA from 1 species